rnacentral:rRNA from 1 species
UGAUACCUACGGGGGGCAGCAGUAGGGAAUCUUCCACAAUGGGCGAAGGCCUGAUGGAGCAACGCCGCGUGGGUGAAGAAGGUCUUCGGAUCGUAAAACCCUGUUGUUAGAGAAGAAAGUGCGUGAGAGUAACUGUUCACGUUUCGACGGUAUCUAACCAGAAAGCCACGGCUAACUACGUGCCAGCAGCCGCGGUAAUACGUUGGUGGCAAGCGUUAUCCGGAUUUAUUGGGCGUAAAGCG